CUUUAUUUAAGUUUUCUUCUCCCUAUGGGGUUUUAUGUAAGAGAGGUAUAAUGCAUAAGAAAACAAUGUCAUGUAAAAUACUCUUUAUCCUAUACACAUUUCAUUGCAAACAAGCUUUCUCCCUAGGCAGUGUAAUAUCUGAGAUCUAAAGACACCAAUUAGGUAAUUCACUAAUUGACACAAGGUCCCAUAAGGUUAAGGUCGGUGUUAUUAUGUAUAGUGUGAUGGAUCACUAUAACCAUCCCCUUUGGUUAUGCAUUCAACUAUGUGUUCAGGACAUUGCAUUCCCUUUUAUUAUAUUUCUCCCUGUCAUUCCCUUACCGAACAAGAAGUGUGAAACCUAUUAACAUUAUGUACUCAAUACACACGAACUCCCGAAGCCAUUCAAAGUGCCCUUCGACCACGUGGCGUCGGCCAUCUUAAGCUGCGAGUACUAUGAGCGGUGUUUGGUCGUCGUUAUGACAUUAUCCACGAACGGCUAUGUUCGGUAUUUCGAACGGUAUUUCAA